AACGACGAUGAUUCAGUGUAAAUUGGUACGUGAAAUGAUGGUA
rnacentral:guide_RNA from 1 species